ACUUCCUUUCUCUGCUCGCGCUCGUCGCGUGGAGAUAACAGGCGGGGCCGCACCAUGCAGAACGACGCCAGCGAGUUCGUGGACUUGUACGUGCCGCGGAAGUGCUCGGCCAGCAACCGCAUCAUUGGCGCCAAGGACCACGCAUCCAUCCAGAUGAACGUGGCCGAGGUCGACAAGGUCACAGGCAGGUUCAAUGGCCAGUUUAAGACCUACGCUAUCUGCGGGGCUAUUCGAAGGAUGGGUGAAUCAGAUGACUCCAUCCUAAGAUUGGCCAAGGCGGACGGCAUGGUCUCCAAGAACUUUUGAGUGGAGAGAGUUGUGGAUGUGGAACGUGUGCUGCAAAUAAAUGGUCAGAAUG